GUCAGCAGUGACGAUGAAGCCAAGAUUCCUCACAGACGACAGGAAGAUAACAUCGGCCUCACCAGCAUUUAACGGUGUUGUGUGUUGUGCAGUGCCAUAGACGAAAGUUACUUUUGUCGUUUCCUGACGAGAAGAGCUUGUGUUUUCUCCUAGGUGCCACCCGGAUAGAGAAAGUGGCGCCACCCAGGGCCGCUAGACACCCGGCACCAACAUGACCACCAGUGCCAAGACAAGCCACAAACACAGAUGCGAGGUGCACGCAGAUCAUAAUAAAAGGAAUAUCCAGAAAGUGUGUCUUGGUUUUCUGGAAUACCUGAUCGAGAAGCAGCAUGUGUUACGGGUGGGCUCUACCCACGACCCCGAGCGGCGACACGCCGACUACUGCCACAAGGAACCUGAAAAAUACAAUCAACACUGGAUGCUGUAUGCUGACACCCAGAACAUGAAGAGGCAAGAAACCAGGCUGCUUCAGAAAUGCCAAGAAUGUGGGACAUGCCCUCUAAAUUAUCAACAUGUCAGCAAUCAAAGUGAAGAUAAAGGAUAUGUUUAUGUCUUCAUGUAAACUCCGUGUCUUACGAGUGCCACUAGCCUGAUAAACGAUCUUAGCUUUGCUUCAUUCACUGUAACACUGAAUCCGACACGAUUAAACCUUGAAAAGAAUAUUUUGGACAUUUAUAAAUAUUUUUAGUAGAUUCCUACUUAAGGUGUAAGUUUUGUGCACACACACACACAAAAA